GGCCUCGUAGCUCAGUUGGCAGAGCAUUGGACUAGUAUUCCAAAGGUCGCGGGUUCGAUUCCCACCGUGGUCA